CUCAUUUAAAAAUGAUCGGAGAAGUUCCUAGAAGGUCAGAUGUCACCCCCAUCAGUGUUGACAGUGCUCACCAGCAAUUCGAUUCAGUCUCAUUCUAGUCUGGUCAAUGAAGUAAAGAUACUUAUUUUCCUAAAGUAUCAGUCUAAGGAGUAAUUAAAGUGCUUCUCCUCUAUGUCCAGCUCUGUGCUAGGCUCUGUCAGGGGGAGAAGACACUGUUUUGCCCUCUAGAAGUUUAUAGACUAGUUGGGCAACAGAACCAACCUGUGCGAAGCAGAAGAAAACAAGUGCACACACCGCUGCCUUCCACCAUGACUGGGCAGAGAGGUCAAGAGGAAGGACAUAUCGUGUGCCUGGGUGUGCAAGGAUGGCUUCUUGGAAAAGGUGGUCUUGAUCUGGGCUUUGGACAACAGGGAGGAUUAGGACAAACUGAAGUCUGAUGAGCGCAGAGCUGAGAACUGCCUUCUGGACCUCCCUUCGCUACACCGGAGAAGGCCUCCUAGGUUCUUGUCUGUCCUUGAACAUGAAAAUGGCCCAGCACCCAGCAUGGUACCUUUACUAGUCGGAGUUCAAAAUAAGAUUUUUAUUAAUUUAUAAAUAAUGGCUAUAUUUUAUUGAAUGCCUACAAUGUGCAGACACUGAGCAAAGGGCUUCAGAAGCAGGAUUUCCUUGACUGCUGUGACUACUCUAUGAAGAGGAUACUAUUACUGGGCCCAUUUUACAGAUGGCGAACUGGCUGCUUGUGGUGCACAGAGGUUAAAUUGGUGAAGUGGCAGAGGAGAGAGUCGAACCAAGGUCUGCUUGCAGAGUCUGGGCAUAUAACCACUACCCUGUAUUGCUGAGCAAUAUAACUGUUCGGUUUAUGUUGGAUACGCUGACCAUGAUUUGGCAAGAGCAGAAGAAAAAAAGGAAUCCACAGAACUGCCCAGAUGCCAGGCAAGUUAAUCGAUGCCAGCACAACGGAGCACUGCUGCAAAGGCCAGGGCCUCUGCCCCUCCUCCAGGCAGGUCUCAGGGGCAACCUGAGCUGGAUGCAAGGACAAGCCAGAGCAACAACACCUUACUGGUGUUUUAUUUCAGCGAUGGCCCAGGCAGGAGGGAAACCACCUCAUUGAAAGAAUUGGCUCGUUCUGGAAUGGAGAUUCAUUUCCGACGGCCCCCUCCCACGUCUCCUGAGCUGGCUGGUGUCAGAGGGAGGAUAUUUUCAUAAGGAUGAACUGUUCUUGAACGUUUCCUGCCACUGCACAGGUCUCCCUUCAGUAGUCACAGGGCCUGUUAUCUAACACCUCCCUCUGCUUCCAAACAUAUUCAAAUGAAAAUAAAGCCCCUCUAUGAAAA